rnacentral:rRNA from 1 species
GACGAACGCUGGCGGCGUGCCUAAUACAUGCAAGUCGAGCGGAGCGGCGGACGGGUGAGUAAUGCCUAGGAAUCUGCCUGGUAGUGGGGGAUAACGUCCGGAAACGGGCGCUAAUACCGCAUACUAUCAGAUGAGCCUAGGUCGGAUUAGCUAGUUGGUGGGGUAAAGGCCUACCAAGGCGACGAUCCGUAACUGGUCUGAGAGGAUGAUCAGUCACAGUGGAACUGGGACACGGUCAAGACUCCUACGGGAGGCAGCAGUGGGGAAUAUUGGACAAUGGGCGAAAGCCUGAUCCAGACAUGCCGCGUGUGUGAAGAAGGUCUUAGGAUUGUAAAGCCCUUUAAGUUGGGUGGCGUUACCAACUGAAUAAGCACCGGAUAACUUCGUGCCAGCAGCCGCGGUAAUUC